AAUGAACGUUGGCGGCGUGCCUAACACAUGCAAGUCGAGCGAGAAAGUCCUUCGGGAUGAGUACAGCGGCGGACGGUUGCGUAACACGUGAGUUAUCUGCCCUUCAGUGAAGAAUACCCUCGAGAAAUCGAGGUUAAUGCUGCAUACGUCCCUUCGGGGAGAAAGAUGGCUUCAUGCUGUCGUUGAAGGAUGAGCUUGCGGACUAUCAGCUAGUUGGUGAGGUAAAGGCUCACCAAGGCUAUGACGGUUAGCCGGCCUGAGAGGGUGUACGGCCAGACUGGAACUGAGACACGGUCCAGACUCCUACGGGGAGGCAG
rnacentral:rRNA from 1 species